AGAGUUUGAUUAUGGCUCAGGAUGAACGCUAGCGACAGGCUUAACACAUGCAAGUCGAGGGGCAGCAUAAAAGUAGCAAUACUUGGUGGCGACCGGCGCGCGGGUGAGUAACGCGUAUGCAACCUACCUAUCAGAGGGGAAUAACCCGGCGAAAGUCGGACUAAUACCGCAUAAAACAGGGGCACCGCAUGGUGAUAUUUGUUAAAGAAAUUCGCUGAUAGAUGGGCAUGCGUUCCAUUAGGUAGUUGGUGAGGUAACGGCUCACCAAGCCGACGAUGGAUAGGGGAACUGAGAGGUUGGUCCCCCACACUGGUACUGAGACACGGACCAGACUCCUACGGGAGGCAGCAGUGAGGAAUAUUGGUCAAUGGGCGGGAGCCUGAACCAGCCAAGUCGCGUGAAGGAAAAGAAGGAUCUAUGGUUCGUAAACUUCUUUUGCAGGGGAAUAAAGUGCAGGACGUGUCCUGUUUUGUAUGUACCCUGAGAAUAAGGAUCGGCUAACUCCGUGCCAGCAGCAGC
rnacentral:rRNA from 1 species